CAUUGUAAGCAUCUAUUCCUUGGGCUUUAUCAUCUCCAAUUACUUUUAGACUCUCAACAAUUUCACGAUCAGUGAUAUCCACACAUAAUUCCCUUCUUUGCUGUUGUGUUAGGACUGGACCAUUUGUCAUAUCGAUUUUGUUUAUUGCUGGAAGUUGAUAUCCACACAUAAUUCCCUUCUUUGUUGCUGUGUUAGGACUAGACCAUUUGUCAUAUACAUUCUGUUUAUUGCUGGAAAAGAUGAAGCUGAUGAUCCCAUAAGUGUCUUAUGGAAACCAGUGAUCUCCUUUUUUAUAUUUGCAGAUGUAUUGACUUUGACUCCCAUUACAUUUGUGAGUUCUGUGAUCUGUUUAUUCUGAGUUCUUUCUUUCAGGACUAUAGUAAUGUACUUGGUAUAAGAAUCUCCAAGUUGUAUCCAUUUUGCUCUAGCCUUCUGUUGU
rnacentral:lncRNA from 1 species